AGGCAAGCCAGGUGACAGAGCUGUUGCAGGCCAGGUGAACCUUUUCUGGGUAUUAAAAAGGAUGGCGAGCCAAUGAACGGCAGGACUCAGUCUGCAUUGAAGCUAUCAUAGACGACGCUGUGUCCCCAUUUUCCAAACACACUGAUUUCCACAAUCAUACACAGCAUUCCCCCUGUUUAUGGACAAUAGCGCUUGGACAUCUCUCAUGGACAUUCAGAUUAACUCAUGGACUUCAGUGUGGAUCAGUGGUUUGGGUGUUAACAUGUGUUAUUUAUGGGGAACUGUUUUUUGUUUUUGAGAAUCUAUAUUGCUUGGUAUAAGCAAUAAGCCAGAAGAGUUUGCUUAGUGCACCCCCACUGGGUUUUGAUUGAGCAGCUGCAGCAGGAGUGAUCAUUUAAGUUUUCCUUUUCUUUUUUUAUUUUUCUUUGGGUUUUGGUUUAAUACAUGGUACCUGCAAAAGCAUUUUGUGUUGUAUUUAUUAAUUACUGCCCAUCAGCUCCAGUAGCAUUCCUAAAUCUUCUGAUUAACCUAAUAGUUCACUCAGUACCUAGCCUAUAUUAAUUCAUUAGCGCUUCAUCAGUGUUACAUAUAACAUCUCCAAGUUUCUGGCUUCGAUCCUCAACCCGCUGGUGGGCAGCUCUGAACACCACAUCCAGAACACCCUGGAUUUUGUUGAGAAGGUGAGAGAUGUCAUUAUGGAGGCAGAUGAAACCAUGGUCUCGUACGACGUUACAUCUCUCUUCACUUGCAUCCCAGUCACGGAAGCGUUGGAGGUAGUCCGUAAGAGAUUACAGGAUGACACCAACCUCAGCAACAGGACCACUCUCAGCAUCGACCAAGUGUGUUUGACCUGUGUCUUCAUUCCACCUACUUCACAUACAAGGGUCAGUUCUACAGGCAGAAACAUGGGUGUGCCAUGGGCUCCCCAGUUUCACCCAUCGUGGCCAAUUUGUACAUGGAAGAAGUGGAAAAGAGGGCUUUGCUAUCCUACCCUGGAACACCACCAAGCCAUUGGUUCAGGUAUGUGGAUGACACCUGGGUGAAAAUCAAAUCUCAGGACGUACUAUAUUUCACGGAUCACAUUAACUUGGUGGACCGACACAUCAAAUUCACCAGGGAGGAUAAUAAAAGUGUCAGGUUAGCCUUCUUAGACUGUGAGAUUUCCAUCAGUAAUGGGGGACAUCUAAAAGCUGAUGUGUACCGUAAACCUACACAUACGGAUCAGUAUCUAAGGUUUGACUCUCAUCAUCCACUGGAGCACAAACUGGGUGUCAUCAGGACGCUACAACACAGAGCGAACACCAUCCCCACAGACACAGCGGCCAGGGAGGCAGAAGAACAGCAAGAAGGCCCUGAGUAAAUGUGGUUAUCCCAGCUGGACUUUUGUCAAAGCUGGAAAGGCACCUAAAGAAAGCUCCAGCCGAUCCAGGAGAGAAGGACAACCGCUGACUAAGAGAAAACCUGUAGUGAUGCCGUAUGUGUCAGGAGUAUCGGAGAAGUUGAGACGCAUUAUGGCAUGUUUGUCCUCUAUGUUACAAACAGAGUAACAUAGUGUACGCUGUUAAGUGCAGGAGGAUUGCCAGGAUUUAUACAUCAGGGAAACCAAACAACCUCUGGCUACAACACAGAAGAGCUACCUCGUCAGGCCAGGACUCUGCAGUCUGUUUACACCUACAGGCCAGUGUUUUAAUAGUUUUUAUUAACUCUGCUGAUAAAUUUCUGUGUUUGUAUAUUUCUGUUUUCUUCUGUCUGAACUUUAAUUUUCUUCCUGUUUGAGUUUGUCAUGGUCCGCGGCUUGGCGUAUUUGGAAUGCCCAGAUGGCCACACCUUCGGGUGGAGCUGUCAUCUCCACACCUGCAUCCCAUUCCAGGCAAUCAUCAGGAGGACGAUUUAACCCCUCACGGCCGGCUGCUCCACGCCAGUCCAUCAGUCGCCAUUCAGUGGUAACUUGGCUCCUCGCGAAGGUUGAUGUGGAAUUCCUGGAUUUUAUGAACUGUGUUAAUGCUGUCACUCUGUGAUCAGGUUAUUGUCCGGCGUGUUUGUGCCUUCAUGACAGAGUUUCUCUGUCAAAUCACUUUUAAAACUGUUUUUGAAAAUGUCACUGAAACACGAAUUAUUAAUAUUAUAUUGGUGAGUGUUGUGGGCUCAAACACACACAAGAGCACAUUUAAAUAUUUCUUUGGACCCAUCAGUGAAAGGUGUUUUUGUGGUGCGUUUUUCUUUUCUUUUUUUUUUUUUUUUAGCCUAAAAUCACAGGUUUAAGAUCCAGAGCAGAUUUUAAAGGGUUAACCUUCAUAAAGUGUGUGACAGCUACAGGAAAGAUCUGACACCUUUAUCUGAUCACACAGAUGCUGAGUUUAGCUGCGGUCAGUCAGCUAGCUGAAGUUCUAGCAUCUCUAAUCUGAUUGGUCGGUUUUUCACGCAGCAGAUUAAAACAAACUCAGGUGAGUUUGGUUGAAAAAUCUCUUUCAGGUUCUCCUGUUUCAUCCUCUGAUUUUAAGCUGAUGCUGCUCAGCGCGUAACAUGAUCCACGUCAGCUGUCACAUGACGAAGCUGCUCAGAACUUCCUGUCAGAGAGGAAACACACGAAGGUGAUGAGGAGAUAAAGGCAAGGAAACAUGAGUGAGGACACUUCUCCUAUGUGCGAUAAUAUCGACUGUGUUUGAGUCACAGGCUGUAAUAUCUCAGCCUUUCGACAUGUGGCCUUCUAUUAGAGGAGCCGUGGAUUACUCGCAGGGAACGUUGGGAUGCAGGAAAGGCGGCACCAGGAACAGAGCAGGGACGCAUUUCAUGUUUCCAGUUUGUUUAAAAAAAACCAAAAAAAAAAAAAAAACCCAAUGACCUGAUGAUGUGAUAUACAGUUUACUGUGGUUGUACUUCAUGUUCACACUGUGGUGAAGGAUGCAAACACUUCCUCCACCAUGUGGAGGCGCUGCUGAGCUGCCUGCUUUUCUGGACGCUGCCAGCUUUAACCAUCCAGCUCCGGGUCCUCCUGUGGGCGGGGCUCCUGCCUCCCGGUGACCUGCAGAGAAACAGCAGCACACAGGUGUGAGUCAGCGAGUCUUCAAACGGGCCGAGCGCUUGGUUCCAGAGCGUCCUCUGAUCAGCAGACGUGUGCACGGUACCUUAUGGCUGAAACAGACGGCAGAGAUGAAGAGCAGCAGGCUCAGCAGCAGGAGCAGCAGUCUGAUGACAAACACUGUUGGAUCUGAUGAGACACAUUCAGCCGUCACAUUAGAUGUUUUUUUUUUUUUUUUUUUUUUUUUGUCGUCUGUCCCAUUUGGUUCUUUAGCCGUCAGAAUUGUUGUCUGAAGACCAACAAGGAUACCCAAUGGAUUUACUUUGCCAAAUGGAUCAUCACGGCCUUGCCGUAUUGGUCCAUUUGAUCGACCUUUUGUUGUUAUUAUUUAUUUUAUUUUAUUUUCAGUUGUUACAGACGGGACAGACAUGACAGGGGGAUAGGAAAGGGAGAAAGAAAGUUGAAGGAAAAGAAAAACAGAAGGGAAGAGGGACAGUGAGAAAGAGCACUUAGAAAGAGAGAGAAAAAAAAAUCUCCUGGAUCACCUGUUGAGAGAAAAAGAAGAGAAAACAAGCAAAAAAAAAAACAAAGCAACAUACAGAACACAACACCAUCACGUUAAUCUAGCUAAGUGUGAACAGCAGUAAAUACUAAAUAUUGAAUGUUGUUGUGCAGCAUGCAGGACAGACAGCGCACAAUGUGCUUUGAAGUAGCAGCUAAGAAAGGUGUAGUUUAUGUCUACGAACAGUGAACACCCGUGUGCACACCCGUGUGGAUCAGCGCGCUUGUAUACAAAAGGUUUCUCCAUGUAACGGUCUGCUAGAGGGUGUGGAGGGCCAUAGCCCCGUCCCCCAGGGCAUGAAGCAGGCAUGGAGGAGAUCCAGGCUCCAGACAUCCAGAGGCCCCAGAGUGCGAGAGCCCAAGGAGUACCACCGGAGGGGCAUCCGUGCCACCCUCCUGGCAAGAGCUGAGGAGAGCCCCAGAUGAGGGGUCACCAAGUAGCCACGGAGCAGAAGCCAGAGGGGGCUGCAGUGGCGUGCCUGCCGGCUCUGCUGGCAGCCAGACGUGCCAGAGUGAACCGAGCCGCAGGCCCAGAGGCCGGAGGCCCGAGGGCCCCCUUUGCCCCGGAAGAGGCCUGACCGAGCAACAGGCACCAGGCCCCCUCCAAGUCGUCACCGGGAGUGAGCUGGUACAUACCUGAGCACCCAGCCCCGGACACCAAGAACCACCAACGCACCGAACCCUGAGGGCAUCAGUUACCGGCAGGGAGUGUGGAGAGGGGCACGUUAGAUGUUAGGAGAACAACAGCUGGCAUCAAACACAAACAUCAGGUGAAGCUCAAUUAUCCUGCAGACAUUCACUCAUCACGGAAAACUGUUUCUUACAUCAUGCUGCUUCUGCAGCUUGUCUGGUUUGUAUUCUCACCUGUACGUCACAGGCCCGCCUGUCACCUGGAUGAUCUGGAUGAAGGAGAACCACCACAGACAUUUUGAUACAGUGCAAUCAUUUAGUAAAACAUUUGAAAUUU